rnacentral:lncRNA from 1 species
AAUGCAAUACCAAAUCGGAGUUCAGCCCAAGCAAACCAUAAUAAGUUUUAUAGAGUAGCACCCAAUAGACUCAACCAGAAAAAGGCAUAACCAUAGAAGAUAGCAAUGCGCAGAAUAACUUCAAACAGGUACACUCCCUCUACUCUCAAGGUAUAACAUAUUAACUUACUGUUUGUGCAUCUUUCUUAUUGUGGCUUAUGUUUAUUUUCAUAUUCACAAAUCAGAAAUGAUCUUAGUAGUGCCAUCAGGUUCCAAAUAAAGGCUAGCAUUCUACAGGAGAAAAUGCACUGCCAAUAUGAAAGUAACCAAAUUUCAUCAGGCAGCCAGAUGUAAUGAAAUGUCAGAUGACAUCGACUAAAACUAAGUAGGAAAAAAAGGUCAGGUUGGCUGUUAAAUAUACGCAUAAAACAAAAACAUAUGGCAAAUGCUACAACACUCAAAUCCUCGAUGAUUAACAUGUAAACUAUCUUCAAAAGGAGGCAAACCUUUGACAUUCUACGUUCAUAGCUUUCUUUUGCAGGUCCAACGCAUUCCCUUACAAAACUUCGAUUGCAGUGAGUAAAGCCUGCAUUGAAUUUUGCCAUCGAAGGAAGUUUCAAGACUUGAAGGUGAUCCAUCUUAUCUUCACACUCAGAAAAGCGAGCUUCACACAACUUUGACGAUUGAUACUCGUUAGCUAGAAGGAAGUUUCUGUACACCUACAAAGUACAUACCUGUAAGUAUGUAAAACAUAUUAUCUUCUAAAGGUGACAGAAGGUGAAAGUUAAUUUCAAGGCAUGUAUGGUGUUCUCUAAUCUCCCACGAAAAGAAAGAGGUGUACCGCAGCAAGGAAAUAUGAAAGCAAAACAUUAUUCAUAGCAUGCCAUAAAAAAAAUCAAACUGUACUAGUGGAAUUAUAAUAUCAUAACAAGGUCAAGAACAACAAAUAGAAACGAGAAUUAAUCACAUGACCAUUACAAUACUAUUGCCAUGCAACAAAUAACAUUUCAUUGUGGAUUCCUUUUUCAAUGUGAAAUGAACCCAAAACAUAUCCAAAAAAUAGUAAAGUAAUAUUAAUGAAACCUUUUUAAUCUCAUCUUCAAGCUUCAGGACUGACUGAGCAGCAUGAUGUUUACCAAAGUGCUGCUUAUCAAAGAUAAUUUUAGCUUCAGCAUUUGCCAUCUCAUGAACUUGCUGCAGUUUGUCUACAGGUACUGGUAGGCCUAAGCCAUCCAUUUUCUCCCUAUACACCUUCAGAC